AACGGCCGUACCAUGCUGAAUAUACCGGUUCUCGUUAGAUCACCGAAGUUAUUAAGCAUCAUUGGGCGCGGUCAGUACUUGGGUGGGUGACCACCUGGGAACACUGCGUGCCGUU